CUCGGCCUAUCCACAUGACUUGGGUUCUUUAUGGUUUGACAGUUGAGUUCUGAGAGGGAAUAUCCUCAGAGUAAAUGUUCCAAGAGGUCUGCUUACUGGAUGUUGGGAUGUUGGAAGUCUUCCCACGACUGAGACUUGGAAGUCACACAUGUCUCUCCCACCACCUUCUGUUGGUUAAAGCAGUUCACAGGCUCAACCCAGAUUCAAGGUGAGGUGAGGUAGACUCCACAUCCCAAUGCGAGGGGGGUGGGGGGGCGUGUUGCAAAUUAAUUGCGGUCAUAGCUAAUUAACUACAGUUGGCCCAAAAUUAUUUAUAUUUCUCACACAUGGAAUGGACACUCAUCUCUCAAGGCCCUUACACGCUUCACCUAUUGCAGUAUCUAGACCAGACUUGAGAUCCAGAAGGUCAUGUUAAUUAAGUCCAGGUGGGAGGCACUGCCUUAAAUGGAGUCCUCAGGUACAGAUCCUUCAACCAGAUCAUUUGCCACUGUGAGCCACUUUAUAAGAAAUGGCCUGGGGUUUUUUUUGCAAGGAGGUUGAGGGCCUGAAAACAUCUUUUCAUUUUGAACUAUCUCUGGUCUUUUCAGUCUAAGUUGACAGUGUUACUACUGAUACCAAACUCUUAACAUGGUUAUAAGUUUCCCGGAGAUCUUUUUCAGAUUCACUCUCCUAAGAUAAAGCUACUGCCAUAAAUCCCUUUGAGACAGAGGGAAGUGUGGGUGCUGAAGACCUUUUGUUUACUAUAAAAGUCAAGGAGACACACACUUAGAACCCUCACAAGCCCUUUUAUUUGGCUCAGAGAGUUUAGGGGUGCACAAUUAAGAUACUUAGAAUUCUUUUUAACUAACUGCCUUGUCUAAGAGUCUCUCCUUAAAUUUUUCAGAGGCCUUAACAAAGGUGUUAGCUACACCUUGGAUCAGGAAUUUAUGCUAAGCCACCCUGAGAUCUUGUUUUUGCCCUUUAAAACUUUAACUUCUCACGUUGUGUUUGAGUUUAGACUCAUUGAUAACAGAGCCCAGGGGCAGGCAGCCUGUCAGGGGCGGAAGUUUGGAGCCGGGGCGUGGCCACGAGCGGCGGCAACUUCUGCCUCCUCGACCCCACCUACCCAGGUCCCGGGCUGCAGGUGGACCGGGUCUUCGAGAGUCCGUGCUCCGAGCGAAGCGCAAACUCGCGGGUCCCGCUGGACUGUGGGGAGUCCUGGGCUGAGGGCGAAGGGGCUGGAGGACACCAUGGAGGGGAUGCUCCUCAGGCUGAAAGGGUUUGGAAGCCUGACUGACAUGUUGAGGAGUGACGCUCAGCCGCUGUUGCAGGCCUAAGCGGACCUUCUUCAAGAUGGUUGGGAGCCACUUAUCCUUCCUGGAAGCGCAUGUGGUGCAGGCCCAAAGGGACCACGAGGCUUUCUGCUGCCCAUGUUGUACAGCACGAAGGACUACUUUUCCGUGGACGCUGGGCAGGCGACCGUUGGCAAGCUUUGUGGGCCUCCCAUCCCGGAGGAAAAAAGCCAUCUGGAGCAGCAAGGGUUCUUUCUUUUUUUAUUGCUGAUUUGUUUUCUGAAUUGCCUCCCUUGCUCUGCAUGAGAGCGCGGGGUUUGGAGAAGCCUUGCAACCCACAUGCGGAAGUGCCUCGGAGAAGGCAUUUUGUCCCAGUGUUUGGCCUUCCCGGUGUUGGAGAUGGUAAGGCAGGCAGGUGUGAGGUGCUGUGGCGGAUGGAUGGCGGGGACUAAGAUUUCUUUCUUUCCGAGAGGCUUUGCAAGGGACUCCUGGCGAACUCACUUGGUGCCGCCCGGGCGGCGUGGCUCCCAGGCUCUCUGUGUUGGUUCAUUUGCCUGCAGACCCCAGUGCCUCUGAGGCAUCUCAAUAAAGAUGUCAGGAGGUUAAAACAGAUCAAAACAAAAAAAAAACACAACUCCCUAGGAGAGGUGGCACAAGGAAAGGACAUCCUAACAGCCAGCAUUUCAUGAGGUUCAUCUGGAAGCUGAAGAAUAUUUUGUGACCUAUCCUCAGAUUUCUUGCAGACGUUGAACUCUUUCGGCCAGUUUCAAGGUGAGCCUCAUCCAAUCAGUUGAAUAUUUUUAUGGAAAAAAGUCUACUCUUCCCUGAGGGAGAAGGAAUUCUGCACAGACUGCCUUCUGAUUUAAGCUGCAAUAUCAUUUCUUCCUUGGGUCUGCAGUCUUCCAGUCUAUCCAGCAUAUUUUGGAUUUGUCAGCCUCCAUAAUCAUCAUCCCAGCUUGCAAGAACCUACCCUGAAGAUAAGCCUCUAUAAAUGCAAAACAACAUAUGUGCAAGAAUAUUCACCAUGCAUUAUUUGUAACACCUAAAAAUUGAAAAAACAAAUGCAUUUCACCUGAAUGGGAUAUGUUUAAUAAUGAAGUCUCAUGCAUUGUGAAAAAGUAAAUAAAGGGGCCCCUGGGUGGCUCAUUUGGCUGGGCAUCCAGCUCUUGAUUUUGGCUCCAGUCAUGAUCUCAUGGUUUGUGAGAUGGAGCCCCGCAU